UAUAUUGUUUUAUCCAUUUGAAUUUAUGAAUGAAGAACAUAGAGAUUCUGUUGCAAAUCAUCCAAAUUUAUCUGCAUACGUUGGGCUUUCAAAUAUGAGGAUCGAACCGUUUUUUGAGAUGAUUCGUAUUUUAUUUGUUGAGUUACACAGUAUUAAACGAGUAAAAAAUGCUGUAAGUUAUUUUAAAGCCAGAAAUUCUUCUACUUUACUUUGAGUAAACAAUCAACAUGAUGAGGAAUAAGUGGACUGUCGACUAGAGUUGAACUUGUUAAUGUUUUUUUUUAAAGAGUACUCGCAUAUGCGUGCUAUAUCAUGUUACAUGUGAACUUCACAAAUGCAAUAUAUCUGAUACUAGCGGCAACUGUGUUUCUUAUAUAUGUUGAGAGUAAAUUCUUUUUUACGUAUAAGGACGUAUCACAUUUCCAGUCAUCUAAACAUUUCUACAACAUUAUAAAGAGUGAAAGUUCUUGAAGUCGGAAUACAAUGAAGGAAUUGGCAGAUUAUUCCCCAUCGAAAAUAAUUUGCAACAAUGACAGCUUAUUUAUUUGGAGGAGAGGUCUCAUUUUCUACAUAAAGUAGUGCCUUGAAGAUGUAUUCAUGGUGGAAACUAA
rnacentral:lncRNA from 1 species